AGACGGAAGGAGAAAAUGAAGACAAUACAGAAAAUGAUAAAGAUUCUGACACCGAAUGUUGACAGCAAAUGUCUGAUUCCUAGGAUAUUAUAUUACACGAUACUUACAUGCAAUAAUGUUAUCAUAUCCCAUUGCAAACAUAGUAUGCAUGUUUGUAAGAAGUCAUAAUUGUUUAAACAAAAUGUCCAACGUGUGAGGUCAAAGAAUACCCAAAUAUAUUUUAAAAUGUAAGGAUAUUCUUUAGAUAUUGAUAUAUCUUUAUCGAGUUAAUAAAAUAUCUCAUGUAAUUCAUAACAGGUAAACAGAUAAAUACCUCGUAUAAUGAAUAAGAUAUUUUAUAAACAAAAAAUC
rnacentral:lncRNA from 1 species